GGGCUCACUUUGGCAGCACAUAUACUGACACUGAAAAGAUGCAGAAGCAAUUAACAAGGCCCCUGCCCAAGGAUGACAUACAAAUUCUUAUCUUUAAGAAAAUGUGG
rnacentral:snRNA from 1 species